UGGUGGCUUUAAAAUAUGUUUGCAAAUGCUUUGCCAUGCUUCCAUCAGGAGACGGGGUUGUUUAUUCUCACUUUGAAAAUAUGUUGGUUUUUGUGACUCUGACUCCUGAGGCUUAGCAUAACAAGGCAAUACGGCAUCUGCCUGACUGUGUGUCUUCAGACUUUUGCUCUUGGAAUCCAUCCUUCAUGCUGUGAGGAAGUCCAGGCCACGUCGUGGGAUCAUGUGUAGGAGGUGUCCAGGCAUAUAGCCCUAGCUGACGUCACAGCCAGCAGACAGCAGCAAUCACCAGACUUGUGAGUGAGAAAGUCUCCAAGCUGACUUCAUCUUCAAUACUAUACGACAGCAACUGCAUGAGAGACCCUGAUGAAAAACUGUAUAGCUGAGCCCAGUCCUCAUUACAACUGUUAGAGGUUUGGGAGAUUAAUCGGACAGGAUCGGCAGGGAAAGCACGUGUGUUUUUAUGAGAAUUAUGCCGAGAUAGGUAAC
rnacentral:lncRNA from 1 species